rnacentral:tRNA from 1 species
GAGGGCAUAGCUCAGUGGUAGGGUGUGUACCUAGCGUGCACAAGGUCCUGGGUUCAAUCCCCAGUACCUCCG